rnacentral:rRNA from 1 species
AUGCUUCUUCGGGAUCGUAAUGGGACUGUGAUGCUUGCUGCUAUUAGAGGACUUGUGAACUGCACUGAUGCGCUGGAAGCAGAAGUGGCGGCAAUCCAUGAAGGUAUUAUAUUGGCCCUAAGCUGGACUGAGGUGGACCUCAUAGUGGAGACCGACUGUGCAGAGGCUGUGCAUUUGAUUUCUUCUAUAGAACAAGAUCGUUCAGCGCAUAGCCACAGAAUAAUGGAGAUUAGAUUGUUGCUGUCUCAAGCAAGGAGUAUUCAACUAGUUAAGAUCAAGCGUAACAUGAACUCUGCUAGCCACACUCUCGCGCAAAUGGGACGAAUUCAACAGCGAACUGCUUGUCGGCUGCGAAACCCCCCAGACGAGAUUGCGAGCAUCAUUGCCGCUGAUUGUAACAACAUUACUUGA